rnacentral:rRNA from 1 species
UGCGCUUACAAUCCGUCAGAGCCUUCGACUUUGUCGUGGGGUGAUGGCGUGCCUUUUGAAGAAUGAGCCUGCGAGUCAGGGACAUGUCGCGAGGUUAACCCGUGUGGGGUAGCCGCAGCGAAAGCGAGUCUGAAUAGGGCGUAUCCACACAAGAGUGUGUGGUGUAGUGGUGUGUUCUGGACCCGAAGCGGAGUGAUCUACCCAUGGCCAGGGUGAAGCGCGGGUAAGACCGCGUGGAGG